rnacentral:tRNA from 1 species
UGUCAAGGGAUGGGAAUCGAACCCACGACCUUCCGCUUACCGGGCAGAUGCCAUGACCACUAGGCUACCCUGUGGAC